UCUGUACCGUUACGAAUGCUCAAAAAAAAAAAAAAAUCAAUAGCGGAUUCCGAUAAACUAGAGAGCGGAGGAGCCGCCGUAAUCGAGAUGACGGCGGCAAGGCGGUGGAAGAGAGCGAUAAUUGGAAGGAAUGUCACUGUGUUGGAUUUCGAGCUGCUUUGCCAACGGUAACGCUUCACAGACUCAGGGGAAAUGGAGGAAACUCGAGAGAACAACGAUGGAGAAUAAGGCGGCGAUGUUAUGCAAUGCCUCGCGGAUCGUCAUCUCUGCAUAGAAUCCGCUUGGUACCAUCUUUCAUUCGAAUACCAAUUCAGUACAAUGGAUCUCUGAAUUGUCUGCUUACCUCUGUUCUUGAGUUUGUAAAUCAUUGAAAGAUGCUUGACUUUUUCUAUGUAUCUGACAUCUUGCUUGCGUACUAUUGAUUGCAUCCUAACUCGGUUUCUUGCCUAUGCGGAUAAGAAGGAAGUUUAACAUUAUAGCUUGCUUGUGGUAGUUUCUUUGAUGAUUGCAUCCAAAAUUUCAUCCGUCCAUUCUGUACAUUAACUCAGGAGUCUGUAUCUGGCAUGGUCGAGGAGACGCACAAUGUCCCAAUGACCCUUUCUUGAGCUGCAUUCGCCUCCCUUUAUUGCAUUCGCCUCCAAAAUAAUAAAUUUAUGGUUCCACCAUAGCUACUAGACCUGGUGAAGCCUAAAGGAUCAUCUUUAUUCUUAUUUUUACAUUUUAGCUGAAGAAACAAAUGGCAAUCGAUAUGUUGAUCUUGGACGGACAAUCAAAUGUAUAUGUGCCAAAUGAAUCUUUUAUAUUCAGACAUAUAUAAACAAA